rnacentral:rRNA from 1 species
GUUUGAUCCUGGCUCAGGAUGAACGCUGACAGAAUGCUUAACACAUGCAAGUCUAUGAGAAGAUCUACUUCGGUAGAAGGUAUCAUGGCGGACGGGUGAGUAACGCGUAAAGAACUUGCCUCUUAGACUGGGAUAACAGAUGGAAACGUCUGAUAAGACUAGAUAUAAUAGCGACAUGGCAUCAUGUUGUUAUGAAAGGUAACACUAAGAGAGAGCUUUGCGUCCUAUUAGUUAGUUGGUGAGGUAAUGGCUCACCAAGACGAUGAUAGGUAGCCGGCCUGAGAGGGUGAACGGCCACAAGGGGACUGAGAUACGGCCCUUACUCUUACGGGAGGCAGCAGUGGGGAAUAUUGGACAAUGGAGGAAACUCUGAUCCAGCAAUUCUGUGUGCACGAUGAAGGUUUUCGGAUCGUAAAGUGCUUUCAGUAGGGAAGAAGAAAGUGACGGUACCUACAGAAGAAGCGACGGCUAAAUACGUGCCAGCAGCCGCGGUAAUACGUAUGUCGCAAGCGUUAUCCGGAAUUAUUGGGCGUAAAGGGCAUCUAGGCGGUCAAUCAAGUCGAAGGUGAAAACUUGUGGCUCAACCAUAAGCUUGCCUACGAAACUGAUUAACUAGAGUACUGGAGAGGUGGACGGAACUACACGAGUAGAGGUGAAAUUCGUAGAUAUGUGUAGGAAUGCCGAUGAUGAAGAUAGUUCACUGGACAGAAACUGACGCUGAAGUGCGAAAGCUAGGGGAGCAAACAGGAUUAGAUACCCUGGUAGUCCUAGCUGUAAACGAUGAUCACUGGGUGUGGGCAGGAAGACUGUCUGUGCCGAAGCUAACGCGAUAAGUGAUCCGCCUGGGGAGUACGACCGCAAGGUUGAAACUCAAAGGAAUUGACGGGGACCC